UGGGGAAUUUUGGACAAUGGGCGAAAGCCUGAUCCAGCAAUGCCGCGUGUGUGAAGAAGGCCUUCGGGUUGUAAAGCACUUUUGUCCGGAAAGAAAUGGCUCUGGUUAAUACCUGGGGUCGAUGACGGUACCGGAAGAAUAAGGACCGGCUAACUACGUGCCAGCAGCCGCGGUAAUACGUAGGGUCCAAGCGUUAAUCGGAAUUACUGGGCGUAAAGCGUGCGCAGGCGGUUGUGCAAGACCGAUGUGAAAUCCCCGAGCUUAACUUGGGGAUUGCAUUGGUGACUGCACGGCUAGAGUGUGUCAGAGGGGGGUAGAAUUCCACGUGUAGCAGUGAAAUGCGUAGAGAUGUGGAGGAAUACCGAUGGCGAAGGCAGCCCCCUGGGAUAACACUGACGCUCAUGCACGAAAGCGUGGGGAGCAAACAGGAUUAGAUA
rnacentral:rRNA from 1 species